rnacentral:rRNA from 1 species
AACGAACGCUGGCGGCAUGCCUAACACAUGCAAGUCGAACGAGACCUUCGGGUCUAGUGGCGCACGGGUGCGUAACGCGUGGGAACCUGCCCUUAGGUUCGGAAUAACUCCCCGAAAGGGGUGCUAAUACCGGAUAAUGUCUUCGGACCAAAGAUUUAUCGCCUUUGGAUGGGCCGGCGUUGGAUUAGCUAGUUGGUAGGGUAAAAGCCUACCAAGGCGACGAUCCAUAGCUGGUCUGAGAGGAUGAUCAGCCACACUGGGACUGAGACACGGCCCAGACUCCUACGGGAGGCAGCAGUGGGGAAUAUUGGACAGUGGGCGAAAGCCUGAUCCAGCAAUGCCGCGUGAGUGAUGAAGGCCUUAGGGUUGUAAAGCUCUUUUACCCGGGAUGAUAAUGACAGUACCGGGAGAAUAAGCUCCGGCUAACUCCGUG